rnacentral:lncRNA from 1 species
AGGCAACCCGCGGGCCGAGACGGGGUAGUGAGGGCCGGAAGCCCGGCUCCCGACUCCGCUUCGUCCCCACAACCUCCGGCCGCCUGAAGUCCUGAGGGGCCGUGGCCCUGGGUCGUCUCCCCUGUUCCCAGCCUCCAGUCGCAGCUGGCGGAGAGAAGUUCCCGAGGCCCCCCCGACUUGCAAGGUCCCUUGCCCCGCCCAGAGCUGAGCCUUCCGAGGAUCUGAGGACCGAGUCCAGCCCAGCUCCCAGGAGGGGCCGGGAUCCUGGGGCAGGGAAUAAGGGGCAGGGGCUGGCUCUAAAGUCGGGCGGGAGAGGGGCACUAACCGAGAUGGGGGCUGAGCCUCCGGUCUGGGAGCUUCGGGAGGCGCGUGGCGGGAUGGAAAACAUUCCUGAGACCGUUGGAUUGGAUUUCCGAAUUUGGGAGGCUAGGACUCCGGCUACGGUGGCUCUGCUCUUGGGAUGAGAGGACUGGGCCCAGCUUGCGAGGAAUCAUGAAGUGGACACAGGGUGGGAACGUGAAUUUUAAUGAGGGGGCAGACCGAGGAGGUGGUGGCUGCCCGGAGAUCAGGGCCAGGCUGUGCUAGAUGGCGCCUGGAAGGGGGGUCACCCAAGUCUCCCUGCUGUCAUUUCAGGAGGCCGACCCAAGUCUCCCUGCUGUCAUUUCAGGAGGCCGAAUUUUUUCCCAAUCCCAGAGAAGGUGUCAGAGGCCUGGUUAGCAGUCUUGUCGAUGGUUUCCUGGGUGGUCUUGGCCAGCUGGUCCAUGGCUGGGGAAGGGCGGGAGAGAGGGCAGGUCAGGCAGGGCCCGGGAACCACAGUGCCUGUAGGCUUAGCCUGGCCUGGGUCUCCCGGGGGACCUGCUUGGGGCAUUGUGGACAGAGGGCUCUGCAGAGGAGAGGAUGUGCCUGGGCCCCAGCCGGGAUGGGGCGGGGAGUGGGAGGUGUGCUGGGGUUGCCCGCCUCCCUCCAGCCCCACCAGACCUUUCUGCCCCGCCUCUGUGGCCUGGUCCACCACUUGCUGAGCUGCCGCUCCGGCCGCUGACACUGGAACAGAGAGAUGUGGCUUUUAGCCCCUGUUGAGGCACCACCGACUACAGGUGCCCCACCAUUGCCAUGCCUCUGUGUCCUCCAGAGUAUUCGGUGGUACAGGUCCAAGGGAUGGAUGCCAUGGAGAUAAAGUCCCUGGCCCAGGGCCCCCCAGCCCGAGGGGCAGGAGACCUUUCCAUGCCUCUGGGAUGUUUUUGUUUAUUUCUAACUCUGAGCUCCUUCUCUGUGGGGGAGGAGCUUCCCUUUCCAUCUCCAGGGCUACUGAGAAAAUGUUGGACAGAGGAAGGAAGGCAGGGCAGGGCCAGGCUGCAGCUAGCAUCUGGACUGUUGGCUAAUGCUGGUGAUGGCGCAGAAGACCCUUGCCCCCUUUUACAGCUUCUCCCCUAGAAGCCUGGCCCAGAUGCCUGAAUUCCCACCUUUCAUGCACUUAGCCCUGGGGCUUGCAGUUUUGCCAGGUCCUUACUGCCUCCUCCCUCCUGUGGCCUGCCCGGAGGGGCACACAAGCAAAGCCAGUGCCUCUGUGGACAGGCAGCUUAAGACAUUAGGAGACAAAUGAAGGAAGGAGGCAAAACUUCCAAGGCCGGACUAUCUCCUCUGGACCAGAGUUUCGGCCUGCUGGGAAUGGAGUCACCAGCCCCGGGGGGGCUGACAGGUGGCUCCCGCCUACAGAGCUGUAACUCAUCCCUGCUGCUGAACAGGAAAGGGCCUGCCUUACCCAGAUCCCAUCCUCCGGAAAGGGUUAGUCAGGCAAGUGUGCUGAGAGGCCCCUGGGAACCUCGUCUCGAUUAACCCAUCAGAAAGCAGCCCAUCCUUUGCACCCAGCUCUCAGAUGGAAAAGUGAAGCCCAGAAGGAAGGGACCUGACACGGAGGCUUCCUUGGUAGCAUUUCAGUCUCAAGGGAAGAACUGUGGGCCUCCCCUGGAGCACUGGUGAAGUAAGGGGUUGGUUUGGAUAUUGUCUCCUGACUGGGAUAUGGGCAGGACUGACAGGGAGCUGGAGUCCUAACGAAGCCUGGGCUAGGUGCAGGAAGAACCAACCCAGUGGUCUCCUGACAUCUCCCACGCCCCCACCGCAGCUGGGUCACCUCCAGAAUACGGAGGAGAGAGCUGGAGGUGGAGGAACUAAGGACCUUCUUUGCCAGGUGGGGACUUAAAGCAUACAGUGAAGUUGUUCUCUGAAGUUCCUCAUCUGCCUUAAGUCUGGACCCACCAAAGAAGAAAACAAUGACCACUGGUCCCUUCCCGGAGUUUUCUCUGACUGAACUGCUGUCACAGGAAGAAAGACUGAAGCCUGCUCACAUACCUGGACAGAUUUUGCAAACCGUUGUCUGCUCUGUGAGCCCAACAGACUUUGUCCCAGGCCACUGUAUGUUCUUCAAGCCCACUGAAUUCCCCUGAAAAUCAUUUACUAGCCCCCUGAAAUUACCCACACUUCCCCAUUGCUCAUCUGUACCCCAUUUCGUGGUGGGGCAGUCACUCUGAUUUCCCCUUGCAUGCUAAUGAAUGUGUAUUCCAUUUCUAUUCUGCUUUCAUGAGCUGACUUUUCAGUGAACCUUCAGAGGGUAAAGGGGAAGUUUUCCCUUGGCCCCUGCACCGCAAUUGGUAAGGUCCAAAAUGUUAAAUGGAAAAUUCCAGAAAUAGCUGGUCGUGAUGGCUCCUGCCUGUAAUCCCAGCACUUUGGGAGGCCGAGGUAGGUGGAUAGCUUGAAGUCAGGAGUUCGAGACCAGCCUGGCCAACAUGGUGAAACCCUGUCUGUACUAAAAGUACCAAAAUUAGCUGGGCGUGGUGGCGCACGCCUGUAGUCCCUGCUACUUGGGAGGCUGAGGCAGGAGAAUCACUUGAACCUGGGAGGCAGAGGUUGCAGUGAGCAGAGAUCGCACCACCACUCCAGCCUGGAUGACAGAGUAAGACUCCGUCUCAAAAAAAAAAAAAAAAGAAAAUUCUAGAAAUAAACAAUUCAUGUUUUAAAUAAC